UACGAUACCUUUUCCAUUAGAGUAGUGGUAAGGUUCAGGUACAAUAUGUAUUUUUAGGAUUAAUUAGAGUUAGGCGGAGGCUAAUAUCUAGUUAAAAUGUAGCCAAUAUAGUGAUAUUAUUUUAAUUUUAACAACAAUGUAUUGGAAUUUGGAGUUUAUCCGAGGUGGCAAGUUCCGUUAGAAUAAGAUGGCGGAGUCAUCGCCCGGUUGACGCGUAUAUCCUUGAUAGCACUAGAAUCUAUCCCAGAAAGAAGGCAAAAGGAUAAAAAUGUAAGACUCGAUAAAACCGUCGAACAUCAUGGCAGGUCGAUUCCAAACAAUAGGCCAGUAUAUUAGGAGUCCAAAUAUACAAUGCGUUCGUGCGUCAAUCGAAACGCUAGAGGAUUAGGCCGGUCUCGCUAAGGAAUGUCCCGGUCUUGCUAAGGAACGUACCCGGUCUUGCUAAGGAAUAUACCCGGUCUUGCUAAGGAAUAUCCCGGUCUUGCUAAGGAAUAUCCGGUUUCACUAAGGAUUACCACACGCUUUCGCCACAAGAUACACACACGGUCUACGACGUAGAAAUCUUCCCGAUUAGGGAUUUUUCUAGUUACCAUUACGCAGAUGUUUAGUGUGUUGGCGCUACGGGCAGGCUUGUUCGUGUUAUGUUUCGCGCAAUAGCUACGAGAGCUUUAGUAUACGAUGUAGAUUUUAUGAUCGCAACGUUAUACGCAGAAAUCAUACUUAGAUCCCGACGCAGUUCAUUUUUAAACUAUGUCCCUACCAUAUCAUUUUUUAUAUUGUAAAAAGCUUUUAGUUUUCAAACACUUGUCUGAAACCUAUUAUUAUUUUUAAAACUAUUCAAACUACAAAGACAAUAAUACUCAAAAAGAUGACAACCGAAUACAUGAAACACUUCAAUACAUGAAAACUAAAUAUUUAUGAGAAGCAAAAGAGUAAUAAGAGAGAAAAGACAAAUAAAUGUUAAGGCGAAUCAAAUCAAAAUAUUCAAUUUAUUUGUAGAUAUACCAUCCAACGGAAAUUGAAAUAGUUUGAGAAAAGAUAAUCAUCACAGUCAUGUAAAAUAUAAUCAUACGAGAAUCAAGGAAUAUUUAUUUGUUAUAAAAAUACAUGUCAGUUAGGCGUCGAAACAUGAAAACAACUGAAAAACAGUUAGUAAAUAUGAUAAUAGACCAUGCAGUCUCAUUUUAGUGAAGAUGUUUUUAUGGCGAAAACUUGAGAACUUGUCUGUUUUUCUAUUUUAAAUAAUUUUGUAAGUUCUACUAUUUCCGAGAAGACUAGUUAAAGAAGAUGUUAAGUACAUACGCACAUAAACGUGAUGAAAGUUUUACAUAGUGAAAAACUCGGUAAAAUAUAUAAAAAGGUUUAGUGUACAGAAAAUCUAUAUAGGGUCAAAAAGUUAUGGCCACUUAUUCAAAUCAUAGACUAGAUUAUGACCAAAAAUACGAUAAAACUAAACCAACUAUAAACCCAGCCUGCAUCAGGUAUAAUUUGAACACGAAAUCACAAGAACAAAUAAGUGUUGAAAUAUAAAUAAAGACUAUAUAAGAAUUUUAUGCACAAAAAUCUAAACAAAAGUAGAUAUUUCUGAAAGGAAGGAAUAACUAGAACAACAUUUAUUAAUGAUAUUAGAAAAUAAAUUCGGAUUUUUUAAAGAGACUCAGCUAACACGAAAUUUUAAAAAGAACUUUUUAACAUUAUGUACGCAUUUGAAAAAUAGCAUACAAUACGUAGAAUGUAAAGUGCUUACAAAAUUAUGGUAGUUUUAGAAACUAACACAAGAGAAAACAAGAAAGAAUCAUUAUAUUUGGAAUACAUUAACAAAUAUGUUAUGUAGAGACACCAUUGUUACUGCGUUUAUUUAUAUUGGUAUUAAAUAAUUUGUUUUUUUUUCUUGGCAAUAUGUUCACAUCAAUGCUAGUAGAGUAAUAUGACCACUGCACGAAAAUUGUAAAAUUAAAAACAGCGUAGAUAAAUUGGACUUUUUUCGUGGUAAAUAAGAAUCAGCACAUUUUUUGGUAAGUGAUAUUCUUCGCUACUCGUUAAGAAAAAAAUAUAUUGCACUAUUUAGUCCGUGGUAAAUAAGAAUCAGCCCAUUUCUUGGUUAAUGAUAUUCACCGAUACACACUAUCGAAAUAUCAUCUGGCACCAAAAUUUACUACAAUUGAAGUUAUUUUUGCCCGUAAUUAAAUUAUACGACAAUCAAGAUUCAAUUAAACUUACACGUCAUUUAGAAAUCUGCCGAUUUCUGAGUUAUUCUACGUUAUACUUAACGAAAAAAAUAAUUUGUCAACAUCUGAAGGAGGCGGUUGAUUUUUAUUUGAUUUUAUUGUAUUUAAACAUAAACCACAGUUCAUUCUUAACACUACACAUUAUUUACGACCUAUAUUAGGUAUAUGUAUUUCUACUUAUAUAUUAUAUGUAUGUAUUAAUAAUUUUAUUUACUUUUAAAUCUUUUUAGCACCUUUUGAACCAUUCUUAGUUGAAACUCGAUGUUUAGAUAUUACGAAAAUGAAGCAUGGAUUAGAUUAAUAAAGUUAAGGAUUUGUCAUUUUGCAAUUUAUUGCACUGUUUCGCACUUGGAUGACUAGUGGUUAAUUCAUAAGGUUUGUUGCCCUGUACUUGUAAAUACUGAGGCUAACCUGUGCUGUUAAAGCCCUGUUCUUGUAAAUAAUGGAUAAUUCUGUUUUUACUACGUGGACGUUGGAAACACAGUCUCUAAUAUCUAAUAGUUAUAGUAACUGUCCACGUCAAAUAAUCGCUUUAUUUCAGAGGUAACAUUACUAAAACUUUAACGAUAAUAGGAUAUUUCGAGGGGAACUCUGCAGUGGCUAACAAAUUAUGGAUUGUAAAAUAUCUUUGGUCUUGUAUAAGCAUGAGGCUAGAAAGGUUUGGUUUAGUUUCCAAAACGUUGUUUGUGAAAAUAUUGCUACAAAGUUUCCGAAACGGCUUGUACGGUUGUAGACGCAUCAUCUGCAGAUAAUGACAUCACGCUUUACGCCUUUGAGAGUUGUUAUGAUCAUUCUAUCAUCGGCAUUUGUAUGGGUACGUACGUUUGAUACAUUUUGAAAUACACGAUGUUAUCAAUUUCAUUGAUUGAUUUAUUUGAUUGUAAUUAUUAGAUAUUAUUUAACGUUUUAACAUUUUUGUAUAAUAACAUUUUGUAUUAGCUUUGUGUAUUUUAUUUAGGUAUACGUUCAGUUAUUGGAAUAUUUUAAAGUGAAAUGAUAUAAAAUUUUAUUGCUCUGAUUUAAAUGGCACGUUUAUAAGAAUUAAAGUUGAAUUGAAGAAAAUUUAUUUAAAUCAGCCUAAAAUAGCGUAACUACGUGAAAAAUUAAUGACUUGAUUUCAGUUCCAUUUGACCAUCUGAAAGACUUUAUUGCAGGAAUUGGAAUAUAUUGACAAAAUUUGUAAAGCACAAUUAAUAUAGUUGAUGUUUAACGAAACUGCAGCAUCGCAUCAAAUUAGCUUUUUCAUAUUUUCACAUUAAGCCAGUUACCCAGUAUCGUCGUAACUAGCCGACAGCAAGCUUAACAAACUGCCACUGAGCCUGUGUGGGGAUUAUUUUGGUAAAACACAACAUGCUAACUCACUAAGUGCCGUCGAGUACCGAGAUCGUACGAGUCCGUUGCUGCUCGGGUUGCCCGCUUAAAUGUGUUUUCAUUGUUCGAGUCUUAUCUUAUUAGUAACAAGUAUGCUUUUUAUUUGCAAUUUCAUCGUUGAUCUUUUUAAUAUACACAGUUUAUUUUAUUUAAAAUAUUCUGUGAUAUUUGGUAAAGUGCACCAAAAUUACUUGUGGCUAACUUCAGAUUAAAAAGGAAUGAGCAUGAAGCUAGAUGGAUUUGGUCUUACGAGUAAGAAAAUUCUUUCAGAUUUGCGUUGUGUGAGUAGUGGGUAUACAUUUGAUGUCACUUUUAUUACUCUUAAUAGCACAGAAGUCGAUGUUGGUUGUGAUUAGAGGCGAUACCACCUUCAUGAGUGUGCGGUCAUAAUGCGCUUGCAUUUUGUUACUCUAUAACGCUGUUCACCGGGUAUGUAACAUAAAAUCCUUUCUGUAAUAGGAUGCUUUAAUAGAGCUUUAUAAUCUCUGGAAUGUAUGACACUGGCAAACAUUUUAUUGGUUAUAUUUACGUCUGUGGCUAAUUCUGCGUACCUACAUUCUGUAAUAUUUUUUAUUUGCCCCAUUGUACACGAUUUGCGGCAAUAAUUAUAAACAAGUAACGAAUAUUGUAUGUGAUAAAAAUAUAUUUAAAUAAAAAGGAAUUAAUAUAGUUCAUAUGUAUGGCUAUUCGCUGACUGUUUGAGGAUAUACAUUGAGCUGUAGUUGAUGCUUCGGUAAUAUUCAUGACAAGUCAAUAAUAAAAUCAACUUUCUUACUUGAAAAUACGCUUACAAACGAGCUUUUUCAUUUAUAGUGUUGUGAUGAAUAGUGUUUGGUUUAUUCAAUAGUUAUUUGUUUGUCGUGGUGCUUUGUGAUAUUGACUUAAACUUGUCUCCAGAGAUAUAAAGUUUAAUAAAUAUUAACUUAUCUUUAUAAAGCAAACAUCUAUCUAUUUUCCAAAAUUUAAAUAGUUGCCGGGUUUCAGAAAAUAUAUUUAGAGAAGAAAGUUUGUGCCUUGUACAUUAGAAAAAGACUAGGAAAUUUAUAAUUCAUAAUGAUUGAAAUCAAAACCACGUUUUUAUUUAUCGACAAUUAUAAUUAUCCACCAAAAAGUAAUUCAAAAUUAAAAAAUGUAAUUUCAAAUUCAAUAGUAAUAAAAAUAAUAUACAUAAAUCUAGUAUGGGUGAUAAGUGAAAUAAGUGAUGAGAAACUUUCGUAAAAGUUUGUUUUGCAUAAAAUUUAGUUCUGUGCUGUUUCUAGAUUGUGUGUCAGUGAAAAUGUGUUGCUUAUAUAGUUACAUACAAUAACAUAAAUGUAAUAUUAAAUAUUUCUUUUAAAUUACCUUGUAACUAAUAAAAUAAUGUCAAAACUUAUAAUGCUGUUAUUUGUAGGAUUCGUAGUAAGAUCCAAAUUCAGGUUAUAUUAUUUUAAAUAUUGUAUUUUUUUUUGUUUGCAUAACAUAUCCCAUUACAGAUUAAACAUUACACAUUAUUGAAUAUUAUGAUGAGUUAAGUGAAUUCACGAAUAAUUAUUAAACAAGGAAAAAGAAGCUGAAAAAAAUACUGCAAAAAGUAAAAUAAUACCUACAUGGCCGGGAUUAAAAAGACAAAGAAAUUAAAAAAGUAUCAACACAGUUAUUGGCAAAUUGAUAAUUGUGAUUACAAUAACAGUUUAUGGGAAAGAUUAAAUUAAAUACAUAUUUAAUUUAACACAGCUAGGCUUAGCUAAGAUAAUUUUUAGCCCGUAAGUGUUUUUACAGAUUUUUAGGUACUCGUGCGCGAAAGAUUUAAAAGUGUUAAAAAGUAGACCUCGUAUUAAGUAAAUCAAUUUUGGCUUAUAAAAACGGUAACUGGUACACGAAGUUUUUGCAAGCAAGUAUUGGAUUGAACGUCUUAUUUUACUCAAUUUCUAAAAGCGUAAGAAUUUAACGAAAUUUAUCUCUUAACUAUUAUUUUUUGUUGUUUCUUUUUUACAUGUAGAAAUUCUAGGAAAUCUUCAUUAACUUAUUACUUUUUCAUUUUGUAUUUAGGAAAAACUGCUCUAACAAUAUAUCAAUGGAGAAAGUUCCAGUUUUUAAAGAUUUUAAAAUAUUACAAUAGCUCAUACGGUUCCGAUAACACAUCACAGCAAGAUCGACUUUUUCACGAGUCAGUAAAUUGUUGAACUCCACUCCAUGGUAUGAUUUAUUUCUAGUAAAUUUUCAUUUUGCGUUUUGUUCUUUUCCGUUUCUUUAUUCAGUUAGCAAGCUCAUAUAAUUACUUUUCUAGAUAUAUGCUUUGUGGAAAUUUACUUUUUAAUGUAUUAUUAACGAUUACUACAAUUUACAACUGAGCUGAAAUAGAAGAAACAAUACAUUUGUUAAAAACAAUUUUGUUGCAACAACUACUUUGUUCUAAUCGUUUUAUCCUAACGUUUUCUUUUUGCGUUUGUAUUAUAUUCUUCUUGCAGUUAAUAUUUUGACAGUUUCACUCACGUUUCGACGUCAGAUGUCCUUAACGCACGAGUAGUAUAAGGUAUAUGAUUAGCAUUAUUGAUCUUAUUUUAUGUAUAAUGCAAUAAUCACCUAUAUAUGUUAACUAUAUGUUCCUCUAACAUUUUUAUGCUUGACUGCGUGUGUUCGUUUCGAUAUAUUUCACAGUUUUAACACGGCGGUUCGCCCUCAGGUUUCCAGUUACACGACAAGUGAUAGAACUAUUUUGUCGAAGUAUUCGUUGGUAUUUAAAAAUUAAUUACUAUCAAUAAAUAUUAUUGUCUUACAGCAUGAUUUUUAAAUGUAUUUUAAAAUCUUCAAUUUAUUUAAAAGUUCGCAAUUAUAGUUAUGUCUCGCUAACGUCGUUAUUCUUUUCUGCGUGUCCCUUUAAUAUUUUGUUACAGCUAACGGUUCUAACUAUAGUAUGGCAAGCUUGUUUGCGAUUGAUGACAACUCAAAGAACUGUAAUGCAGAUAUGCAACUUUAUCACCCUGUCACCAACACAAUUCACAUUUAUGAAAAAACGAAUACAACAUUAUAAUAAUUAAUUUAAAACGUUCCAUGACUGUUGAGUUAAUGCACGGGUGCUGCGUAAAACGUAAGAUAUAUCAAUUAAUAUUUAUAUUCGUUAACAAUAAUCAAUAUUAGUCCUAUUUUUCGCAUUUGUGUGUGUGUGUGUAAGAUUAUUUUACAGUUCCGUCUACGUAUCAGCCCAGCAGGAUUCGCGUAACGGCACCGGGAGAAAUCUUUAUCUAUAAAAUUAUUGCGAAUACAUACAUACAGAGGUACUUACAUUAACAGCAAUUGAUUAAACCUUAACUUAACAAUAAUCUUACUUAUCUAUUCUAAUUAGAUUUCUGCACAUUUCCCGUAACUUGUAUUUUUCUUGCCUGCGUGUCAUUUUGUCUUCUUCACAGUUACUUUCUGCCAGUUCCCGAGCAAAUGCCCGAUGGGUCGGUGCCCAUACUUGUGCGACAUACUUACAGUUGCAGCAGUAAAUUAACCGUACCUGUAUUUCGAAUCCCGUGUUAAAUAUUAUUGCAGAUAGGCGAGCAUCUACAUAAACCUGAGGGAUCACAUCACUAUUUCUUAAAGCAUCAACAAUAUAAUUAACAUCGAUUAUGUAAGUCGUAGUGCUAUCAUUGCUUAUAAAAUUUAUAUUACAAUAGAUAUAUGAUAUUUAUUUGUAAAUAGAUUUUUCAAAUCAAUUUUAACACUUUGUCACAUAAAGUUAAAUCGUUAGAAUAUAGUUUUUGAAUGAUUUGAUAAAGCAAUUUACUCGUAAUUGCAAAAGCAGAAUUUACUCGUACUUCUGCAAUUUUUUUAAAUGUAUUUGAGCUCGUGUUAGGCUUUUCUGCGUGUCGUUUGUAUUUUUUUUGCAGUUGAUGCUUUUAAAACAGCCGCGUAUAUUCAGCACUAGGCAGUUCUCGCACACUCGUGAGCCAGGCGUGAUUCGCAAGGUACACAUUACAACUGGAGAUUAUUGACCAAAAAAGCUUUCACCAUAAAAAGGAUUCAAGGGUAUGACCAUUAACUUAACGUUUUUAAUAAAGACUAUAGUUACAACCAUUUGAUUGGCCCAUUAAUUAUCUAAUGUAAUGUAAAUGUUUUUGCUUGUCUGCGUGUUUUUCUUUUUAUUUUACAGUUUCUAGUCCAGGUUUACUAAAACUGAAGAAUCUUAAGAAUAACGGGUAGACUUGAGAUUAACAGAGAAAUGCAUCCAGAAAUAUAAUAUAGACCGAAAUGACAUUAGGAUCAUGAUGAAUAUAGGUAUUUAAACAUAUAACUCGAUGUUAAUUUCUAACCUUCGCGUCUUAUUAAGGUACACUAAAUAUUUUUUUUUACAAAUACAGUUGAUGGUUAGAUAGUGCGUAAUUUUAAAUUAAACAAUAUAAUUGAAUUCUAUUAGGCAGCAUGAAUAUUGUCUGUGUUUACUUAUAUUUUUAUGUUGUCCUAGUUAAUUUUAUUGUAUUAUGUCUAUCACUGUUUGCAUAUGGGGACCCGGUAUGUUUUCUCUUUAUCUUUGCUUAUUUUUCCAAACGAAACAAAAUGCGCCAUUCUCAGAUACUCUCGCUGAGCCAUCAAAGUUUGAGUUACAUCUUCUUCGGGUAUUCUUUGAGUAUAAGGUAAAAAGGACACUUGGAUUACGAGAUUCGCGUUUCCCGAAAUCAGAUUGAUGCGCGAUAUUUUCAAAAGGUAUAGUUAUUACCAUGAAAUUAAUAGAAUCACAAGAAAUAUCCAACAGUAAGGAUCUGUCGAGUACAUCUUCAACGGCUCGUCUCAACGUCAUCAAAAUAGAACGCUUGAGGUUUCCCAUCCUGCGUAGCAGUAUUUAACAACAAGAUGUUCGAAGCUGUGAGUAAGAAUCAAAUUUGCCGCGUUUCCUGGUACCAGACUACCGCGUGAUAUUCUAAGAAGUACAAUAAUUACCUAGACUCCUAUAGAACUUCUGGCGCUAGUCCAAGCUACAGCAAAUAAGGCCGCACUAAUCUACUAAAGAAGGUUUCAAAUUUGUCAUGCGAUUUUGCCCGUUAGAGUACAAGAUGUUUCCCGGAAUCGGAUCACGGCGCUGUAUCCCGAAAGGUACAAUCAUCACCACGACAUUUGCCAACAUCAAAAAUCAAAUUCAAAAGACUUUAACAAAAUAUUCUAAAACGCGCAUAGCGCGUAUAUCAGUAAGAUUACCGAGAUGUAAAAAGCUUGCUGUUAGUAAAAACUAAAUUUGCCAAGCGAUAUCUUUCUUAAAGGUUUCCGGAAUUACAGCGUGACAUUUCAAAGAGGUACAAUAAUGUUCCUAGUCGUAUACGGCUUUUAGCGCUCGUCCUAGUCACAGAAAGUGAUGUACGAGAUUCCGGAAUCGGAGAUAUAUUCUCAAAAGGUACAUUAAAUACCAAUUUUCUUCCUUAGAUUACAAGAUUUGCGGGAUCUUAUUAAUAUGGCGAGAUAUUCUCAAAAGGUACAAUUACUAAGUAACUCCAAGGAUUCUCGUCUUACUGGCAUUUGUGCGACUUCAAGAGAUUUAGACUCCCAUGUUGCAGUAUUACCGAAAUGAAUAAAGUAUCUUUCUUAAAGGUUUCCGGAAUUACAGCGUGACAUUUCAAAUAGGUACAAUAAUGUUCCUAGUCGUAUACGGCUUUUAGCGAUCGUCCUAGUCACAGAAAGUGAUGUACGAGAUUCCGGAAUCGGAGAUAUAUUCUCAAAAGGUACAUUAAAUACCAAUUUUCUUCCUUAGAUUACAAGAUUUGCGGGAUCUUAUUAAUAUGGCGCGAUAUUCUCAAAAGGUACAAUUACUAAGUAACUGCAAGGAUUCUCGUCUUACGGGCAUUUGUGCGACUUCAAGAGAUUUAGACUCCCAUGUUGCAGUAUUACCGAAAUGAAUAAAGUAUCUUUCUUAAAGGUUUCCGGAAUUACAGCGUGACAUUUCAAAUAGGUACAAUAAUGUUCCUAGUCGUAUACGGCUUUUAGCGAUCGUCCUAGUCACAGAAAGUGAUGUACGAGAUUCCGGAAUCGGAGAUAUAUUCUCAAAAGGUACAUUAAAUACCAAUUUUCUUCCUUAGAUUACAAGAUUUGCGGGAUCUUAUUAAUAUGGCGCGAUAUUCUCAAAAGGUACAAUUACUAAGUAACUGCAAGGAUUCUCGUCUUACGGGCAUUUGUGCGACUUCAAGAGAUUUAGACUCCCAUGUUGCAGUAUUACCGAAAUGAAUAAAGUAUCUUUCUUAAAGGUUUCCGGAAUUACAGCGUGACAUUUCAAAUAGGUACAAUAAUGUUCCUAGUCGUAUACGGCUUUUAGCGAUCGUCCUAGUCACAGAAAGUGAUGUACGAGAUUCCGGAAUCGGAGAUAUAUUCUCAAAAGGUACAUUAAAUACCAAUUUUCUUCCUUAGAUUACAAGAUUUGCGGGAUCUUAUUAAUAUGGCGCGAUAUUCUCAAAAGGUACAAUUACUAAGUAACUCCAAGGAUUCUCGUCUUACGGGCAUUUGUGCGACUUCAAGAGAUUUAGACUCCCAUGUUGCAGUAUUACCGAAAUGAAUAAAGUAUCUUUCUUAAAGGUUUCCGGAAUUACAGCGUGACGUUUCAAAUAGGUACAAUAAUGUUCCUAGUCGUAUACGGCUUUUAGCGCUCGUCCUAGUCACAGAAAGUGAUGUACGAGAUUCCGGAAUCGGAGAUAUAUUCUCAAAAGGUACAUUAAAUACCAAUUUUCUUCCUUAGAUUACAAGAUUUGCGGGAUCUUAUUAAUAUGGCGCGAUAUUCUCAAAAGGUACAAUUACUAAGUAACUCCAAGGAUUCUCGUCUUACGGGCAAUUUGUGCGACUUCAAGAGAUUUAGACUCCCAUGUUGCAGUAUUACCGAAAUGAAUAAAGCUCGUUGUAAGUAAAAUUAAAUUAGGCAUGCGAUUUCCUGCCUCAGAUUUUUGACAAUCGCGUUUUCCGGUAUCAAGACUACAGAGUGAUAUUCCUAAGAGGUACAAUAACUAGAAUGUAUAUAGUAAUAAAAUUCUUGGAAUUCAUUUUAUCAAUAAUGCUGCAGCGAGCUACUACAGAAGGUUUCUAAUUUACCAAACGACUUUCCCCUUUAGAUAUCACAGAUUCCCAGAAUCGGAGUAUGGCGCUAUAUUCUCAAAAGGUACAAUAAUGAUCAUGAAUUAUUAACGUUUUCGAGGAUUCUACUAGGCUACCAAAUAUUCUACGUACAUAACAUCAAGAAUCCCGUCAUUUUCGGCUUCGGGGGCAGCAAAUAAAUCUCAGCGGUAAUCCACUUCGCAUUUUUUUUCUACUAAAAUAAGGCAAAAAUAGUGUUAACUACAUUUUCCCACAGCCGCUAACUCUCGUCGUGUAAAGGAGUAGACGGUGCGUCGCGAUUAAGUCUUUGGAAAGGUUUAUAUCAAAUAGACUGAAUGUUUAUGAGCUUUUUACGUGUGAACUUCCUAAACAGUAUAUUUGCGAUUGAUGGAGUUUCUAAGGGCCGAUUGAUCGAGCACACCGGUAUACUGCUAAAAAGGUUUUUACCAAUUUGAUGUAAAAAAAUAUGUUUUAUACGUAGCUUAGCUAAAUGUCGUAGAUUAAUGGAUUCAGAUUCUAUCCAGAGAUCAGUAUUUACCAGAAAACGUCGGCGGAGGUACAGUUUCGAUGAAGUUUCACCAGACAAGAUUUGACGAUAGUUCCUCUGCUACUUACUUCAGUCGGUAGAAAUACAGAAUUGAGCAAUCGGCGUGUUGCGUCAUUAAAAUUAAAGUACUUAUCAAAGUUACCAAAUUCGAGCAUCACGCGUAGAAGAUUUUAUUCACAUUACACAGAGGAAGUUUCGCAAUAUCAGAAUUUAAUACUUUUACCAAUUUCAAGUCGGCUCCAGCGACAAGAUUCACCCCCACUGUUGCCGUUGCAUCAAACGACGCUGGUUGCAGUACUGUAACUACGAAAGGUUUAACAUUAUUUUAUUAUUUGAAAUGUAAACGAUUAUUCGCGGUAUCCGGACAAACAAAUGUUGCAGUACUCUUCAGACUAGGCUAUGCCGUCGGUAACCGAUUACCAACGAAGUAAAGGUAUAAAAUGAACAAUUUUAUCAGCAUGUCUUCGGUGUUUAUCUCCGUCGCAGAAUGGUUCUAAUGGUCUCGAUCGUGGAAACUACGAGUACAAAGGUGGAAAUCCUCAGUAAAAUGUAGCUUUCGGCCACGGUCGCCGUACGCCCGCACUUCGUAGUUGGUACUGCAAUUUUGAUUUUAUAGCUUUUAAGGAUAGGUAAUAUAGUUCUUUCUACAUAGUAAAUUGAAUCCUAAUCAUAAAUUGUGCACAACGCAUCGAUUGAGAGCUUCUGCAACAGCAUGAUUUGCUGUGUUAUAUUGAAUUUAAUAGUCUAGCAGCAUUAAAUGUUAAAAAUUAACUGGCACAUGAUAAGUUGGAGAGCUUCUGGAACGUAUUAUGAUUCCCCGUAAUGUAUUUAAAUCAGCUACAUAACCAUUAUUUUGUUAUAGCGGUGGAAGGAGUUCCUGGGUAUAUUUAAUUAACUCUAUUUGAUUUCAGCAUUUUCCAUUUUCUUAUUCUUGACACCUGUUUGUACACGUACUAGUAACUGUGACUGUGUGAAAUAACUUAAUUAGUUUUUCCUUUUUAAAUAUAAAGCUUGCUUUAAACCUGGUGCUUAAUUGGACACAAACGACGAGGUUUUGCUAUCGGAAAGGCAACGCGACCUUCUACUUAGCAUGUUUGGACUGAUCUAUUUUGAAAAUCAACCCCAUUCUCGCAUACACUCGCCAAGCAAACUGUAGCUGUAGAUUACUUUGUCAACGCUAAUUGUAAGUAUGCAAUUGUGUGACGUGGUGUUUAACUUAGAUAUUACAACCAGCAGCAUCAUUAAUAAUAGGCGGCUUCUACUGCUAAUGGGUAUAAUUAUGAAUGUUAAUUAACUUUAAGAAACCGACCUAUUUCAGAAUUACAACAAUGUCGUUUGUCUUCUUGUCAAUGUCUACGUAAAUAGUUACUGCAUCUACUGUUAUAGCGAUUUGUUUUGGCUUGUGCGUGUUGUUUUCUUCUAAACUGCAAUUCUGAUUGUCCGUUUUGCCUUUUGCCCCUCCUUAAACUGAAGUUACUUGUGUCCUCAUUGUUAGAGAAUCAGGCUUUAAAAUGGAAUAAAAUAUAUUCCUAUCCUUUCCAUGUUUAGUUUUAUUUUUAGUUUUUAUAAAAUUCUUUAUGGUAUUUUUUUCAAUAUAAUUUAUUUUUAUUUUUAUGGCACUCAACCAGAAACAUUGUAAAAUUAUGUAUCGACCUUAUAGAAAAAACAAAAAUAACUAUGUACGAGUAUUUGAAUUGAUUUAACGCAAUAAAGUAUUAGAAUGGGGUCUUCGUUAAAUGUCUGGAACUUUUUUUUGUUUAUAAUAUUUACUCGUAUACAUUACACUGUACACUGCAGAUAAAAUAAAAGCAAACUUUGUUAUAAGCAUAAGAAACGAAAUAAAAUAAUAAAACUUUCAAGCUAUAAACGUCACGUUAUAGUAAUAAUUACUCAUUAAGAUAAUAAACAGAUUAUGUUACAUAUGUGUAUUAUAAGAAAAAAUAUAAAAUAAGGUAUUUCAUAAAUUAGAUUAUAAAGGGAUAAUACAGAAAUAGUAAUAUUUAUUUAUUAUAGUAAUAUUAAGUUAGUAAUAUUUAAGGCUAUGAGGUUAAUUUAUAUAGGAUAAGAAGUAUUUGCUACAUAAUGGGUAUUUUAUAAUAAAGCGUGACGAUAGGUCGUUAUAUGAAUGUGUUAGAACUUGCCACGAUAGGUACAUUAUAAAAGAAACGGUUAAAUCUUAUUAAGAACCGGGCGAUGAUAGGUAGAAAGAGGCAGGGUGAUGAAAAAAUUCGAAGUCAUUAGACGAUUAUUUUUGAAAUCCAAUUGGCUUUAAACUCAACCUAUGAUCUACGGUGAUUCCUAUGGAGUUUCUUGCGCCGUUUCUUCUCCAUAGAAGUACACCUUACGAAGCGGUGGUACAUUUUUUCCAAAUUUAUUAAAUAAUAAAGUUUUAAAUCAUAUUGUUAUUGCAUAAAUAAAAUACAUUCGAAAAAUGUAAUGACAUUAAAUAAUUGCAAGCUCAUUUGCCAAUUAAGUAACUUUAUUUUUAGAGUUAGGCAUUAUUAGGUAGGGUAACAACAUAUUAAAUUAACAUUCAUUGACAAACAUUUUGACAAAGAAAAUUGGAAUUUUUUCCUACAAAAGAUGUGAUCCCUGUGGAGUUUCUUGCGCCGCUUCUUCUCCACAGAAGUACACCUUCCGAAGCGGUGGUAGAUUUUUCAAAAUUAAAAAUAAAUGAUAAUAAAAUGUAAAUGAGAAAAAGCAUAUAAAAAGUAAUAACUGAAAUAAAAAGUUAAUUUUGAUGAA